GAGCCGCCUGCGGAGCCCGGGCGCGGGGAGCCGGGGAGGCCGGCGGAGGGGCUCGCAGUGCAGAGGUUUUGACUCUUCCGGUUUCCAGCCGGACUCGAGGCAGAGUUCUCAGCAUUCCCCGCCGAGGGGCAGAAAGUUCGAGAGCUGCAGGCUGGGCGCCAGAGGGGGGACGGCAAAGCUGCACCCCUUUCCCCGGGACCGGGCCUGAGCGCAGGGCGGAAUGUCUGGUGAAAGGCGAUUCCAGGGAGCGAGGGGAAGGGGCUUCAGGUUUCCUUGUUGGAGGAGCGGAAAGGGGCCGCGGGCUGGGGGGCUGGGGAAAGGGGUGCGGUGAGCAGCCUCCUCGGAGAAAUGGACAGUUUAACCCACGCCCUGGAAAGCCCUCCGACUCGGACCUGUAACUUGGGGAGAAACCUUAAGAGGACCUGGCCCGACCACCUCCUGCUGCAGAGAAGGAGAAGGCUCCGAGGGUGGACACUGCGGCCCAUCGGGGCCGGAUCUCGGCUCGCGGGCCGCCACCAGGCUCCUUAACCUCCAGCAGGUUCUCGGCCAGGAGGAGAGUAUUGGUCGUAGUAUUGAGAGGUAAUAUCUGGUCCAACGUCUCUGCAACUCAGGAACUUACUCAAACAGCAGUCAGUUCGUCACCUAGCCCUGUGCAAACAAUCUGCGGAAAGCCUCUAGCACAACGGAAAAGGGAGAUGCCGUCUUGCCUCUAUGAUUCAGCAAGCAUGAAGAUAAAACUUCACUGUGAUCAUGAUGGAGCCAAAUGACAGAAAGGACCUAGACUCCCUUCCUUCACACGUCUUGUUAUGUGAGGAAAAUAAAAUGCUGUUGUAAGUUUAAGCUACAGAGAUGGGCUUCUACCUCAUGUAACUAAAUAUGUCACAAUUCACACAAUAUGAAUAAAAUUGGUAAAAGUAUUCAUUUUCAAGGCUUAAUCUGAGAGACCCAUGAUACCUAACAUAAUCAAAUCUCCAAAAAAUUAUAGUUCUUUAAUUCAUUGUGAUUUUGAAUUGACCUUUCACAGUCUUUUAGUUACCAAACUAUUAAAUACAUUUUAACAUUCAAA